GAUGAACGCUGGCGGCGUGCCUAAUACAUGCAAGUCGAGCGAACAGACGAGGAGCUUGCUCCUCUGACGUUAGCGGCGGAUGGGUGAGUAACACGUGGAUAACCUACCUAUAAGACUGGGAUAACUUCGGGAAACCGGAGCUAAUACCGGAUAAUAUAUUGAACCGCAUGGUUCAAUAGUGAAAGACGGUUUUGCUGUCACUUAUAGAUGGAUCCGCGCCGCAUUAGCUAGUUGGUAAGGUAACGGCUUACCAAGGCAACGAUGCGUAGCCGACCUGAGAGGGUGAUCGGCCACACUGGAACUGAGACACGGUCCAGACUCCUACGGGAGGCAGCAGUAGGGAAUCUUCCGCAAUGGGCGAAAGCCUGACGGAGCAACGCCGCGUGAGUGAUGAAGGUCUUCGGACCGUAAAACUCUGUUAUUAGGGAAGAACAAAUGUGUAAGUAACUAUGCACGUCUUGACGGUACCUAAUCAGAAAGCCACGGCUAACUACGUG
rnacentral:rRNA from 1 species